rnacentral:rRNA from 1 species
CCUACGGGGGGCAGCAGUGAGGAAUAUUGGUCAAUGGACGAGAGUCUGAACCAGCCAAGUCGCGUGAAGGAUGACUGUCCUCUGGGUUGUAAACUUCUUUUAUAUGGGAAUAAAUUGUUCUACGUGUGGGAUUUUGUCUGUACCAUAUGAAUAAGGAUCGGCUAACUCCGUGCCAGCAGCCGCGGUAAUACGGAGGAUCCGAGCGUUAUCCGGAUUUAUUGGGGUUAAAGGGGGCGUAGGGGGAUUGUUAAGUCAGUUGUGAAAGUUUGCGGCUCAACCGUAAAAUUGCAGUUGAAACUGGCAGUCUAGAGUACAGGAGAGGUGGGCGGAAUUCGUGGUGUAGCGGUGAAAUGCUUAGAGAUCACGAAGAACUCCGAUUGCGAAGGCAGCUCACUGGACUACAACUGACACUGAGGCUCGAAAGUGUGGGUAUCAAACAGGAUUAGAUACCCGAGUAGUC